rnacentral:rRNA from 1 species
GAAUAUUGGACAAUGGGCGAAAGCCUGAUCCAGCAACGCCGCGUGGAGGAUGAAGGCCUUCGGGUUGUAAACUCCUGUCAGGUGGAACGAAAAUCCUGGCCGAACAAGCCAGGUCUAUGACGGUACCACCAGAGGAAGCCCCGGCUAACUCCGUGCCAGCAGCCGCGGUAAUACGGAGGGGGCGAGCGUUAUUCGGAAUUAUUGGGCGUAAAGGGCGCGUAGGCGGCCGGGCAAGUCAGGGGUGAAAUCCCUCGGCUCAACCGAGGAAUUGCCUCUGAAACUGCUUGGCUUGAGACCGGGAGAGGGUGGUGGAAUUCCCAGUGUAGCGGUGAAAUGCGUAGAUAUUGGGAGGAACACCAGUGGCGAAGGCGGCCACCUGGACCGGCUCUGACGCUGAUGCGCGAAAGUGUGGGGAGCAAACAGG